rnacentral:misc_RNA from 1 species
GAUGAAGAACGUAGUGAAAUGCGAUAAGUAAUGUGAAUUGCAGAAUUCAGUGAAUCAUCGAAUCUUUGAACGCACCUUGCGCCCUUUGGCUAUUCCGAAGGGCAUGCCUGUUUGAGUAUCAUGAACACCUCAACUCUCAUGGUUCGCCAUGAUGAGCUUGGACUCUGGGGGUCUUGCUGGCCUAUGGUCAGCUCCUCUCAAAUAAAUCAGCUUGCCAGUGUUUGGUGGCAUCACAGGUGUGAUAACUAUCUACGCUUGUGGUUUUCCAUCAGGUAACCUUCAGUGAUGGAGGUUCGCUGGAGCUCAUAAAUGUCCCUCCUCAGCGAGGACAGCUUUUUGAAAGUUUGAUCUCAAAUCAGGUAGGACUACCCGCUGAACUUAAGCAUAUCAAUAAGCGGAGGA